rnacentral:rRNA from 1 species
GUCUACGGCCAUGCCGCCCUGAACAUGCCCCAUCUCAUCUGAUCUCGGAAGCUAAGCAGGGUCGGGCCUGGUUAGUACUUGCAUGAGAGACCACUUAGGACCAGGUGCUGUAGCCA